rnacentral:rRNA from 1 species
GGGAAUAUUGGGCAAUGGGCGCAAGCCUGACCCAGCAACGCCGCGUGAAGGAAGAAGGCUUUCGGGUUGUAAACUUCUUUUGACAGGGAAGAGUAGAAGACGGUACCUGUCGAAUAAGCCACGGCUAACUACGUGCCAGCAGCCGCGGUAAUACGUAGGUGGCAAGCGUUGUCCGGAUUUACUGGGUGUAAAGGGCGUGUAGCCGGGUUGACAAGUCAGAUGUGAAAUCCUGCGGCUUAACCGCAGAACUGCAUUUGAAACUGUUGAUCUUGAGUACUGGAGAGGCAGACGGAAUUCCUAGUGUAGCGGUGAAAUGCGUAGAUAUUAGGAGGAACACCAGUGGCGAAGGCGGUCUGCUGGACAGCAACUGACGGUGAGGCGCGAAAGCGUGGGGAGCAAAC